GACGACGGUACUCGAUUUCGCCA
rnacentral:siRNA from 1 species